CGAAAGCAGUGAUGCAGAGCAAAUCCCCAAAAGCAGUCUUAGUUCGGAUUGUAGGCUGCAACUCGCCUACAUGAAGUCGGAAUUGCUAGUAAUCGCGGAUCAGCAUGCCGCGGUGAAUACGUUCCCGGGCCUUGUACACACCGCCCGUCACACCAUGGGAGUCGGUAACACCCGAAGCCUGUAGUCUAACCGCAAGGAGGACGCAGUCGAAGGUGGGAUUGAUGACUGGGGUGAAGUCGUAACAAGGUACC
rnacentral:rRNA from 1 species